rnacentral:lncRNA from 1 species
GAAAUGAAGUCCUAUAAAGAGGCUAACUUUGCACUUAUACUUUUGUAAACAUACCUUUUAUAUACCUUUAUAAAUACUAUUUUUUGAGUUCAGUCAAACCACUAAGGAUGUGUUUUGCAAUCACUGGUUUGUGUUUCUCUCCAAUUUAAAAUUCAAGUCCUACAUCUAAGCUGUCUUAGGGGUAGAAUAAUUCCAUUUUUGAAACUGCUUGAGAACAACUGCUUUUAAAAAGCAAAUUUCAAUUUUAAACUAGGAAAUACACCAGCUUUUCUUUUUUGUUUAGAUGAAAAGUAUUUACCUGCUGGCUAUUGGAAACGUCUUAUGAAUAUACCGGGUUUCUUGACAAGAUCACAGUUUUCACAUGUCAGAUAGCCACUCCAAACUUUCUGCUGCUGGUAUGCAUUUACCAAGCCUUUUAGCACACUUCCAGAACAUGAAUUCUCAGUUGAGUUGCUUACCAGAAGGAAAUGAGUCAAGCCCAGAAGGAGACCACUUGGAAAAGGCUAGCAAACUUUACAGCAGAGAGAAGUAGCUAGGAGACAGAUAUACAGAGUAGGAGGAAAAUCCACCUGUAAGAAGAAAAGAUGAUAUUUUGGUGAAGACAGUUGUUCACUUAGUGUGGUAUUGGGGAUCAAACUCAGGGCCUCAUACCUGCUAGGCAAGGGCUCUUAUUUUUAUUUGAAACAGAGCCUAAGUUGCUCAGACUGACUUUGAACUUAUGAUCCUCCUGUUUCAGCCUCCCAAAUAGCUGGGAUUACAGGCAUCCAUACCUGGCUAGUUAAGGUCAUUCCUAAGUAUCAUUUAAAAUGUACUGUAAUUCUCUUAGUCAUUUUCUUUUAAAAGUAUCUUUCCUGAUUAUGCUCUUAUUUCUUAUUCUCAUUUUAAUCAUCCAUCUGAAAUUAUAGGAGGAAAAAAAAGGCCUUGAGUUGAUAAUUAUUAUUUAAAUC